CCUACGGGUGGCAGCAGUGGGGAAUAUUGGACAAUGGGGGGAACCCUGAUCCAGCCAUGCCGCGUGUGUGAAGAAGGCCCUCGGGUUGUAAAGCACUUUCAGUGAGGAAGAACGCCUGGUGGUUAAUACCCAUCGGGAAAGACAUCACUCACAGAAGAAGCACCGGCUAACUCCGUGCCAGCAGCCGCGGUAAUACGGAGGGUGCGAGCGUUAAUCGGAAUUACUGGGCGUAAAGCGCGCGUAGGUGGCUUGAUAAGCCGGUUGUGAAAGCCCCGGGCUCAACCUGGGAACGGCAUCCGGAACUGUCAAGCUAGAGUGCAGGAGAGGAAGGUAGAAUUCCCGGUGUAGCGGUGAAAUGCGUAGAGAUCGGGAGGAAUACCAGUGGCGAAGGCGGCCUUCUGGACUGACACUGACACUGAGGUGCGAAAGCGUGGGUAGCAAACAGGAUUAGAUACCCCGGUAGUC
rnacentral:rRNA from 1 species